UGCCUUGGUCUCCCAAAGUGGUGAGAUUAUAGGCGUGUGCCACCACACCCAGCCUCUUCCUUGUUUGACUGCCAUACCCCUAGAAGCCCAGAUUCUCUUUCUAAGAGCAAAAGAGAUUCUAGAGAGACAAGAGAGGUUCAGAGGCUGAGAUUCAGGCUGCGCUCCACCUCUCCCUUCUCUAACUGGCGCUUCUGUACCUUGGAGAUUAGUCCUAUAGCCAUAAACUUUUAAACUUCAUCUCCCCACUGGACUAGCCAUUAGUGGAAGCAGGAAAUAGGACUUCUAUUUCUUGUCACCCUCACCAGCACCCAACCCAAUGUUCCAGACACCAACCUAGUUCACGCCUAUGUUGGUUUGGCUGUUAUGGGGCAGUGGGUGGACAGUGUCGGGCCAUACUCCAGCAUGAUUGGGAAUACAGACAACCUGUGUCCAGCCUCUCCCAUCUGUAAAGUUGGCUUCUAGCCAUCACAACAAGGUGGAAGGAAUGGCUGGACAUGCUGCCAGCUACCAGUUUGAAAAGUGUCUUCUGUUGUAGGAAAACCACAACCUCCCCUAUCCCCACUUCCCUUGUUCCCUGUGGCCCCUAGGCCAGGUUCUGGAGAACCCUGAUUGCCAAACAGGAAAGUACAAAAUAGCACACAUUUGAAUUACAGAGGAGAAACUGGAGCAAUACAGACAUAUUAAUACACAAACCAAAUAGGAGGCUCUCGGGUUGGCCAGCAAUUCUACUUUGGAAGGAUUCUGAGAAUCUAUUUGGAGGGCAGAAUGUCAUUUAAUUUUAGUUCAGUUUGGUGAAGUUUUGUUUUUGUAAGAAAAACAUUGAUGUGGCCUCUUCACUGGGCCAUCUCUGCCUCAGAUGUUUGGAACCAUGACUGUGAUAUUGUUUGGCUGGUCCUGGUAGGCCAUUCUUGGGUUACAAAUGGGUGAUGAGAUAGGAUGGGAACCUGUGAUGGAAUAGGCACUCCUGGCCCCAAAAUACCUCCUACCCUUGUUCUGACUACUUCAUCUGUGCUUCUCCACCUCUCUCUGAAGUUCUGCAAGUCUAGAAUAUUUGUAUGAGCAAACACAUAGGGUUUGGGAUGGAAUACACACUGUUCUUAGUGCUUAUAUUAAUAUUACCCUUGCAGCAAAUUUAUGAGGCAUUGUUGCCAUCAUUCCCAUCUUAUAGAUUAGGAAACCAAGGCAUAGAGAGGUUAGCAACUUCCUGAAGGUCAGCCAGCACGAGGGUUGGGAUUUGAACCUUGGCCAUCAGGCUCAGGAGACUAGGCUUUUCAAUGCAGUACUAUGUUGCUGUCCCACCAGUAAUAAGCACAUCACUUGUAAGCCACAUGAGAGGCACUGGGCUAAGAAAGCCAGAGAGAUUUAGGAGGAAAGAACCCCAAAGAGAUCAUACAGUAAUGGUGGAACCCAAACACCAACGCAGGUUUCUGACUACAAAAAUGUAUUCUUUUCACUAAACUAUCCUUAGAUGAAAAGGUUCCAAGUUCAGGCCAUUCAGGGUAAGGAAACGAGUUGGUUGUAGGUGCAGAAGCUUCCAGCAGUACCCAGCUUUACGGGUCAGGUCUGCUUAUAACAUCUUAUGUCUAAAUCAAGUCAAGCCAUUUUUUAACCAGGAUGUUGCUAUUUAAAGGAAAUGCCUUUUGCCUUGCCCCUCCUGCCUCCCUGCCAAGACUCACUCCCUUGUUUACCUUCUGUGUUAAUGAAGCAGGGGAAGAUGGGUCCAAAUCACUUCAGGAAGAAUCAGUGAUAAAGGCCUGACAGAUAUGCCUCUGCUCAGAGGUGAAGCUGUUAUAACCUGUCUGUGAGAGUUAAUAUAGAGGAAACAGUCCCCAGGGCCUCCGGGAGGCUGGCAUGUCGCCGAGAAUACUACUGCAAUGUUAGAAACAGAGGUGGAUGCAGGAUCUUGAGAGACAUUGGCCUGGGAUCUUGCCAACCUCUCGUUUUUAUAGCAGACUUGGAAACAACCACUCGCUUCCUCCUAAUUUGAGCUGCCUCAGCUAAAUUGCUAACUUUGCCAAUGACUAUGUGUUUUGCCAUCCCUGGCAGGGAAGGUCUGAAGGGGCCAUUGAUUCAUCUGAACCCUGACUUCAUGUCUGACUGGAAGGGUAGGAUCCAAGCUCAUUUGGAAAGAAACAAGACAGAAUCCAGUAGGAAUGUGGAAUCCAUUCUUAGUAAAGAGUUUUUU